rnacentral:lncRNA from 1 species
GUGAGUUUUAUGCAUAUGCUUAUCAAAGCCAAAUUAUAGUUCCAUAUCUAAACGCUUUGCUCCUUGAACAAUGGGUCAAAAGCCUAACCCAUGUAAAAAUAAAAUUUUACAUGUUGUUGAACUGUGAUGUUUUAGAAAAAAAGAAAUAUGGAAAAACAAAACUGAAUACAUAACUAAGAUUAAGUGCACUGAAUGUUCUAUUAAACUGGGAACCCCUACUGCCCCCAUACGCUUCACAACUUGAUUUCCUGAGGCGAUUGUAGUUUCCAUUAUCCUGCGGAAAUAACCAAAAGUUAAUUACAUCGUCAUUUAUACACUUAGUAACCUAUGAUAUGAUUUCUCUUGGCAUUCAAUCUCAGCAAUCAAAAUAUCAACUCAAUAUAAUAUCAAUGAAAAGAACUUUGAAUAUACAAAAUAGACAUCACCUAAAACAGACAAAACAAAGAUAAACAACAUAAUAUUGAUGGUAAAAAUUAGACUAACUAUAUAAAAAACUUUCAAAGGAAAUUGAAAUUCCAAAAACAUCCUUGACAUUAGUUGCUGCAGCCUACGACUAAUACCAAAUUCUCUCAUUGUAUUAUAGAAAUUGCCGGUCAUUACACAAGCUCCUUAGGGCAUAGGUAUUAGGUAGUAAACAGUUGGGUCACUUAAGAAAAUAAUUAUACAAUCUCUUGUAAAUGUAUCAAUGCAGUAAAUGCAUCUUGAUGUUUACAAUGCAUGGUGAUUAAAUGAUUACAACAUUUUAGCAGUUGUCAAUUGAUGAAUGAUAACAUUAGCACCAUAUUGUCGCAAAUAUGUUCAUUUAGAAAUUUAGAAAAAGCAGAAGUAAAUUUAAAACAGGAAUUUACUUCAAUCUUUUACUUAUUGUGAUUUUACAAAAAAAUUCAUCAAAGGUGAUAAAAUUUAGAACAAGCAAAAGCAACAUUUUGCAACAAUAAGGCGUUAUUAUUCAACGAUUGACAGUUACAAAGAUGUAAUCAAUUAAUCAUUGACUUUUCGUGAUUUUACAGAAAAUUUCAACAUCAAAAUCAAUGCCAUUUAGAACAAGCAAAAGCAACAUUAUAAACCAAAACCAAAACCAACAAAGAGAAAGUCACCAACCAAUCAUAAAAAAGAGAAAGCUAAAACCCAUGCAAUGUAAGCAUACAUGCAGACUAUCUUUUCUAUUGUUGAUCAUAAAAAUCUCUCACGAGUAAAUCCAUUAUGCAGGGAAAACCAUAAAUACAACAAACAUACUUCAAAAAGCCCUUGAUUUAUAUUAAAACAGCUUGUGAGCUUAUCAACUGGCAUAAGCACUUGUGAGACUAGUUGAUAAAACUAUAUGGAAACAGCUUAAGACAUGUUCAUAAGCUGUUUUCAGCUGAUUUUCAUAAGCCUUACAAGAUAGCUUAUGAAAACAGCUUAUGGCUUACACAAAAACAAUUUAACUUUAUUUUAUCUUUUGUUAUGAAAUAGAUUUACAUAAGUGUAUAUUAUGAUAAAACUUAUGCUAUAAACUGCAAAAAAGAAUUGUUUAUCCAAACAGGGCCUAAGCUCUCAAAUUCAAGCUACCGCAUGAAUAAAUUUGUUUAAAUGCUGCCAACAAUUACAUCAAAACUUCAUACCAACCAUUCCAUCAAAUAUAUUCUUCAAAUUAAAGGAAGUUAUAAGUUUACAAAUAAAAAAUUGAAGUUCAGUGUGAGGGAAUAUAAUUUACCUAACCAGAUCCAACGAUGAUGUUGUUAAUUGGGAUGAAAAUGAGCUUAACGAAAAAGCCAACGAAUCCCAUCACAACGAAACCGAUGGCAGUGCGCACAGCAACCUUAGAGAAUUCUGCAAAACGAAAUGUACAAUAAAAUUAAAGAUCCAUAGCACAGAGAUUCAUAAGACGAAAAUCAAAGAGAAAUGAAAGGGAUUUUGAGUUUGUUUACCUUUGCGAUCGGGUUUGUGGCAUCGCUUGACGAGCCUUACGCUGUCCUUAGCGAAUUCUCUGAGUGGAUCGAAAACAGAAUCAAUGGCGUCCAUUUUCUUUCGAUCUGAGAAUUGAAACAAAUUGGAUAAUUAAUUAAGAGAUUCGAUUAAGAAUUUUCAAGAGACGAAAAAAUCUAGAUCGAAAUCAAAGGCAACAGAAUCAAUUUUUCUAU